CCGAAGGCCCAUUCGAAUGUUUAUGUAGGGUCCAAAUAAUGCCUAAUAAGAUGUAUCUAACCACAAUUAGUGGUUACGAUGGAAAGAAACUUGUAAAGGCCUUGUUUUCGUACUUUGAGUUUCUAAAUUGUCUAAAAGCUUAAUGAAUGUUCGUGUAAGAUCUAUAUAAGGCCUAGUACGACAUAUGUGACCACGAUUAGUGGAUAAGAUAGACGGAAUAUGCUAAUCAUUUACUUAUAUGCUAUUUAUAAGGCCAAGAGCACGCGGGUUAUGUGAAGGGUAAGCGCAAUUGUUCGGAAGGAAUGAUCCGUGAAUGCGGUCUAGGACCGGCAUCAAGGCAAGUAAUAAGACGAAUUGACCCCUGGUACGUAUACUCAACGCGUUGAUGUAUGAAAUAGUAUAAUUAGGCAAGUGAAAGAAAAAUCUAAAUGAAUAUAACAACGACAUGGUAAAGGAGUUUUAAAAAUGUAACACGUGCCGAAACUUAAUUCUUCGGGCAUAAUGUGGCGAUUACGCGAAGACACGAAACUAGUACGUGGAUUGUGUACCUGGCCAGUACACAAGAAACGUAUGACGUUCGUGAGACCGCGAUAAUUGUUACAUGUAUGUCCGUUAGAAUUGGGUAGCAGGUGGGCGUACGGGUGAAAUGAGUAGUAAGACUCUCGGGAGAUUGAGAGUACUACACGGAUUCAAGGAAUGAAAGAUAUGAAUGCAAUGCUUGAAUC
rnacentral:lncRNA from 1 species